GGGAGCUUGCUCCCGGGCGUCGAGCGGCGGACGGGUGAGUAAUGCAUAGGAAUCUGCCCGGUAGUGGGGGAUAACCUGGGGAAACCCAGGCUAAUACCGCAUACGUCCUACGGGAGAAAGCAGGGGCUCUUCGGACCUUGCGCUAUCGGAUGAGCCUAUGUCGGAUUAGCUGGUUGGUGAGGUAAUGGCUCACCAAGGCGACGAUCCGUAGCUGGUCUGAGAGGAUGAUCAGCCACAUCGGGACUGAGACACGGCCCGAACUCCUACGGGAGGCAGCAGUGGGGAAUAUUGGACAAUGGGCGCAAGCCUGAUCCAGCCAUGCCGCGUGUGUGAAGAAGGCCCUCGGGUUGUAAAGCACUUUCAGUGGGGAAGAACGCCUGGCGGUUAAUACCCGCCAGGAAAGACAUCACCCACAGAAGAAGCACCGGCUAACUCCGUGCCAGCAGCCGCGGUAAUACGGAGGGUGCGAGCGUUAAUCGGAAUUACUGGGCGUAAAGCGCGCGUAGGCGGCUUGAUAAGCCGGUUGUGAAAGCCCCGGGCUCAACCUGGGAACGGCAUCCGGAACUGUCAGGCUAGAGUGCAGGAGAGGAAGGUAGAAUUCCCGGUGUAGCGGUGAAAUGCGUAGAGAUCGGGAGGAAUACCAGUGGCGAAGGCGGCCUUCUGGACUGACACUGACGCUGAGGUGCGAAAGCGUGGGUAGCAAACAGGAUUAGAUACCCUGGUAGUCCACGCCGUAAACGAUGUCGACUAGCCGUUGGGUCCUUCGCGGACUUUGUGGCGCAGUUAACGCGAUAAGUCGACCGCCUGGGGAGUACGGCCGCAAGGUUAAAACUCAAAUGAAUUGACGGGGGCCCGCACAAGCGGUGGAGCAUGUGGUUUAAUUCGAUGCAACGCGAAGAACCUUACCUACCCUUGACAUCCUGCGAACCCUUCGGAGACGAAGGGGUGCCUUCGGGAGCGCAGAGACAGGUGCUGCAUGGCUGUCGUCAGCUCGUGUUGUGAAAUGUUGGGGUUAAGUCCCGUAACGAGCGCAACCCUUGUCCCUAUUUGCCAGCGAUUCGGUCGGGAACUCUUGGGAGAACUGCCGGUGACAAACCGGAGGAAGGUGGGGGACAACGUCAAGUCAUCAUGGGCCCUUACGGGGAGGGGGUACACACCUGC
rnacentral:rRNA from 2 species